ACAGCUUCGAAUCACUUUUCUGCUCUGAUCACGUGACACCAGCAGAAUAAUCUUUCUGUGGAUCAGACGCCAUGUUCUUUUUAACCUCAAUCUUUAAUUGUUGGAUGGUUUGUUUUGAUAUUGGUUGUCAGAUUUCGGAUUGCUACUAUUAUACUGUGAAAUUAAUUUGCAGUGGAAAAUUGAGGUAUAAAAUAUUUCUAUUGGUUUCUUUAUUCUUAUAAUUUUUACAAGAGAAAUUGAAAUGGAUUUACAACAGAAAGGCGUGAAAUUUUCGAAGUUCAAAGUUUUGUACUUUCCAGACCUGCACAACGAAUUACCUAUUUGAAAAAUAGAAUAUGGUUAGAAAUUGCUGAUGUAAUAGAGGAUUCAAGUACCAUUUACAAACAAAAUAUUGAAGAGAAUGUGCUCAAAGGAAAUGCAUAUGAAUUCUUUUUUGUUGACCAGGAUGGAACAAUUCUUUGGAACCUAUACUUAGAAUAAGUUAGUUAGGCCUAGUGAUGUACCAGCCAGAAGUAGAGGAUGACAAAGAAAAUCAACUAUGGAUAAU